rnacentral:misc_RNA from 1 species
AACGCACAUUGCGCCCCUUGGUAUUCCGAGGGGCAUGCCUGUUCGAGCGUCAUUACAACCCUCAAGCAUUGCUUGGUAUUGGGCUUCGCUGCUAAUCCGGCGGGCCUUAAAAUUAGUGGCGGUGCCGUCGAGGCCCUGAGCGCAGUAAAUAUCCUCGCUAUAGGGACCCGGCGGACGCUGGCCAUUCAACCCCCCACUUUUUAAGUUUGACCUCGGAUCAGGUAGGGAUACCCGCUGAACUUAA